ACUAUUUAAAUGCACUGUGUCGCGGACGAUGCGGCCGCGCGUACUUUCAAUACGAAAGAGGGAGAAAACGAUACAUGCGUCUACCUUGCUGCGUUUUCUUACCGGAUGAUUCGAUGAUGGUCUGUUUGGUUUUGCUUGUGUGCAAUGGAAUCGUAUGACGGAUGCUGGAUUCGCUCUGUUUUAGGUUGAGCGCUCUUUUGAUGAACAGGUACAGCAUACUUUUAUAGAUUGUUUGUUGUUGUUGGUGCUGUCUAAUGAUGGGUUAGAAAGAAUUGCAUGAUGGUUUCUUGGUGACUAGAUAAGAUUGAUAUUUGAUCUUUCAAUGAAGUCUUAGGAUCAAACUGAGGUCUGAUUUAUGGUUAUUAAAGAUUGGACACUUUUGCAAAGGAGGAAGAUUGCCAAAUUGUUCUAUUUUAAACAGAAUUUGCCUUGUUGCUUGUAAUGUCUGGUGGUUGAUAUCCUAUUGUGGUUUGAUAUAUGAUUUAUAGUUGUUGGAUGUUGAAUUUGUUUGAAAAGAAAGAAAAAUUCUGGAUCUUUCUGUUAGAUAUAUAAUUCAUAAUUGUUGGAACUUGAUAUAUUCUUCCUUAUGAUUCCAUAAUAAACAUAAAAGAAAGUUGACGAUAAUUAGUAACCAUUUAAAAUUAAUCCUGAGAUUCGCUGUAUAAUAUUAAAUACAAUCGCACAAAAAGCCUGCCAUUUAUUGCACAACAGGAGGUGAACAAGAAAAAGAAAAGAAAAGAAUUAAUAUUAAUACCAGCGCAUAAUGCUAUGCGCUUGAUUCGAUAUACAUAUUCUAUCUCGAUAUUUCUCUUCUAAUAUGCAAAAUACAAAGUCCAAGGGGCAAUGACGUUUUUCAGACGAGGAAAGCAGAAAUACUAGUACAGCGAUAAAAACCGGAACGACUUCCAUGAUCACGAUCCAUGCUUAAUACAUGACAAAGUUCAUCGAUGAAAAGAGAGGACAGCGAGGAAAACAUGGAUAUUACCUGAACGAGGCGCUCUUCCUCUAAAAACAGGAAUUCUUUAACGACGAAAAUAGAGCCAAACGAUAACCAGUGAACAGAACCCCACAGAAAACAAGAACACCUAUUUAACGAUAGACUCGAGUAAGUCUUGAAUUCUUCUUACUUGGUGCAACAGAAAUUUCCGAAUUAAACGGCAAAGAGAAAAGAAGAGCAAAGACAAAAGUGGAUGUAAAAUGGAUGGGUGUAAUUAAAGGCUAACUUAAAAUUUUUAAUUUUAACUUUAAAUUGUAGAAUCUAGGUAUAUGAAAUAAUAAUGAAAAAAAUAUCAAGUGGAUUUUUGGAAUUUCUUUUUACAGUCGGAAAAUUCAACGAUGCAAAUUGAUUGCGAAAAAUUGUAAAUGAAAUGUUGCCUUAAUUGAUCUUUAAUGGGUUAAGAAAUCUUGCAUAAGAGAUAUUAUGACACGAAAUAAAAAACGAUGAUACAAGAGAGACAAAUGGGGCAGGAUUUGUAGAAUUUACGAGGCGUUAAAAAAAUGAAUAACAACGUGGUGUAGAGUGCGGGCCAAUAAAAGAGUCGGCAGGAAAAAUGCGAACGUGGGCGGUAAUUUAGCGUUGAAGAUACACGCCGGAGCGGUUAAUACGCGAAACAUGCGUGCAGACAGGUGAGGCUGGUGUUCACGAGGGUGUACACAGUGUAUAUCAUAAACGCGAACCGGUAAAACCCGUGGGAAAGAAUCGGGAAUAAUAAACGUGCCGAUUUUUAUUCGGCGGUUAUCGGAAAUUCGCCCACGAGGCGAUAAAUGUUCGGAUAGUUCCACUACUGUACGCCUCUAAAUCAUUGUAGUUAUUUUUCACGAAUGGUGGAAGCGAUAUUACACCCUGUCUGGCUGUAUGUAUGAAUGUAACGGUAAAAUGAUUUAUACAAAUCUCAUAAUCUUGUAACUAUUCUAUUUGACUUAGACUUAAUAAUCAUUAUAUGCGUUAUAUAUCAAUUGAACAUUGUUUAUUAACGUUCGAGAUUGUGUUAUCAUUUUUUCCAUACUUAAAUGUUUUAUUAUGAAAUUAACACUAUAAUGUAUAACGUAUUUGCUACAACAAGAUCUUUUGUUCAUGAUGUUAAUGUGGAAUUUUCUUAUUGUCAAAAUAAGCCUAAUUCCAAGGCAAAGCAGGCAGAUAAAACUCAGUCAUUGUAGAGUCAUUGACUUCCUAAUUAUCAGGGAAUUUAUUUCAGAGUCGUUUUAAGCUCUUAUUUCCUAUACUAUUUAUUACAAUUUUCUACAACAUCCUUACUUACUGUACUAUUUAUUACAUUAAUCUUAUACAAUUACAACUACAGAAUCAUUAACUCUCAAACUACAUAAAUAGUACUCUUAUUUUGAUUAAAAAUAUUCCAAACUCUUACUUACUACAUUGCUUA